GACGGAGGGUGCAAGCGUUGUUCGGAAUCACUGGGCGUAAAGCGCGUGCAGGCGGUUUGUUAAGUCGAUUGUGAAAGCCCGAGGCUCAACCUCGGAAGUGCAGUCGAAACUGGCAGGCUUGAGUACGGGAGAGGGAAGUGGAAUUCCUGGUGUAGAGGUGAAAUUCGUAGAUAUCAGGAGGAACACCGGUGGCGAAGGCGGCUUCCUGGACCGAUACUGACGCUGAGACGCGAAAGCGUGGGGAGCAAACAGG
rnacentral:rRNA from 1 species